GUAGAAUCAAGAUUACAAUCUGGAACUUCAUCAUGUCUUUUGUUAGGCUGAAUCAUGCUUAUUAUUAUUAGCAAACCUAAAAAGGACAGUCCAAAGGUUGCCAUGGUGGCUAUGAAAUCCUGAGUCACUCCUCGUAUAAUAACGCCUCCUGUGGACUAUUGCAGCCCCCACUCAGACCAACAGCCCAGAAAUCUCCAACAUGGUAAAACUGAGACCACCACAGAGAUGGUUAGAACCUCAGUGUCUCCUCACAGCCCAACACUGAUGGGUAAAAAAACAGAAAAGAAAAAGGAAUUCCUAUGAAAUACAGCUGUUUUGCCUGACCCUAGCCAUCUAUUCACCUGUGAUGCUUUGCAGAUAAUGCAGCUGGACAUCUCCAGGACAGAAUAAGACACAGUGUCACACCAGCUAGGUUUCUGUAGCACAUGCCAGAUCGAUCCCUUCAUCCAGGAUUAAAUCCAGGAGAACUUUCCUCUUAUAUAUCUUGGCACAAUCUCCUUCUCCCCACCUCAGGCUAAUAAACAUACCUCCCUUACUUGCCCAGAAUUAGCAACAGAUCUUCUCCGCAAAAUCCUUCCCAUGAGACAAAAAAAAAAGAAC